rnacentral:ncRNA from 1 species
GCAGAGUAAGAUCCCAUGCGUAAAGUGCCAUCUGAACAGGGAGUUGACAGAUGGACGAAAAGUAGUAACUUGCGAUAUUGGAUCUGCAUCCCGCUGC